rnacentral:rRNA from 1 species
CCUACGGGAGGCAGCAGUGAGGAAUAUUGGUCAAUGGCCGGAAGUCUGAACCAGCCAUGCCGCGUGAAGGACGAAGGUGCUAAGCAUUGUAAACUUCUUUUGUCAAGGGACAAACUCAGGUACGCGUGUCUGUCUGAAAGUAUCUGACGAAUAAGCAUCGGCUAACUCCGUGCCAGCAGCCGCGGUAAUACGGAGGAUGCGAGCGUUAUCCGGAUUUAUUGGGUUUAAAGGGUGCGUAGGCGGUCGGUUAAGUUAGCGGUGAAAGCCCGGGGCUCAACUUCGGCAGUGCCGUUGAUCCUGUCUGGCUUGAGAGGAGGUGAGGUAUGCGGAAUGCGCGGUGUAGCGGUGAAAUGCUUAGAGAU